ensembl:ncRNA lncRNA:CR44074 long non-coding RNA:CR44074
UGAAAGCCUUCAAACGGAUGUCAAAUCGGUGUACUACAAGGGGAAAAUGUGAAGUGAACGGCUGGGGAAAGUUAAGAGCAUCGAGGACUUUCCGGCACAAACAACUUAAGCACAUUUCUUUGUUUGCCCUGAAGCAGCGAGCGAAAACAAAUCAAAAUCCGCUUAGUUCCGCAUCCCCGGGCCACUCUUCAUUUUUUUAAGUCUCCUUAAAGUCAGCGCUGUGAUUUUUCAUCAACUUUUUGCGGUUGAGCUGCACACACAUAAAGCCGGGCAAAAAAAAAAAAAAGAAAAAAACAGUCGUAAGGAGGAUAACUGCGGGAAUUUUCAUAUUUCCUUUGAGAAAUGAACUUAUGCUCCGCAAUUGGCCGGCUUUCUGCUGGCCAUUUCGUACUUCAAACGACUUUCUGUCCGGCUGUGAUUCAUUGAGAGCGAAUGCUUCAAUUAGAAAUGAAGCCAUCCUGCCUUUCGUUUAAUUUACGAAUGGAACUCAUAAAAGAUGCAGCAUCAGUAGGUGGAAGAAAUAUUCAAAUGAAAUAAUGCUUAGAUAUUUUUGAAUAGUUUGUUAUUCUGUUACUGAAUACUAAAUAAGCACAUAACUAGUUUUUUUUAAAUGAAAAUCAAUUAAAAAAGUUACUACAGUAUUAAAUUUGUUUUAUGUUGUCCAAACAAAAAUCUGCCAGCAGU